rnacentral:rRNA from 1 species
GACGAACGCUGGCGGCGUGCUUAACACAUGCAAGUCGAACGGAAAGGCCCUGCUUUUGUGGGGUGCUCGAGUGGCGAACGGGUGAGUAACACGUGAGUAACCUGCCCUUGACUUUGGGAUAACUUCAGGAAACUGGGGCUAAUACCGGAUAGGAGCUCCUGCUGCAUGGUGGGGGUUGGAAAGUUUCGGCGGUUGGGGAUGGACUCGCGGCUUAUCAGCUUGUUGGUGGGGUAGUGGCUUACCAAGGCUUUGACGGGUAGCCGGCCUGAGAGGGUGACCGGCCACAUUGGGACUGAGAUACGGCCCAGACUCCUACGGGAGGCAGCAGUGGGGGAUAUUGCACAAUGGGCGGAAGCCUAAUGCAGCAACGCCGCGUGCGGGAUGACGGCCUUCGGGUUGUAAACCGCUUUCGCCUGUGACGAAGCGUGAGUGACGGUAAUGGGUAAAGAAGCACCGGCUAACUACGUG